AAAGUCGUAACAAGGUCUCCGUUGGUGAACCAGCGGAGGGAUCAUUAUAGAGUCUACAAAACUCCCAAACCCAUGUGAACAUACCUAUCGUUGCCUCGGCAGGUCGCGCCCAGAAACCCUGGACGCGGUUUACAGCCUGCCGCUGGCCUGACAAACUCUGUUUAAUAUUGAAAAUCUGAAUUACAAACUUAAUAAGUUAAAACUUUCAACAACGGAUCUCUUGGUUCUG
rnacentral:misc_RNA from 1 species